rnacentral:rRNA from 1 species
UACGUAGGGAGCAAGCGUUGUCCGGAAUCAUUGGGCGUAAAGAGCGUGUAGGUGGCCAUGUAGGUCCGCUGUGAAAACUCGAGGCUCAACCUCGAGAUGUCGGUGGAAACCACAUGGCUAGAGUCCGGAAGAGGAGAGUGGAAUUCCUGGUGUAGCGGUGAAAUGCGCAGAUAUCAGGAAGAACACCAAUGGCGAAGGCAGCUCUCUGGGACGGUACUGACACUGAGACGCGAAAGCGUGGGGAGCGAACAGG